rnacentral:rRNA from 1 species
GGUGAGUAACACGUGGGUAACCUGCCUGUAAGACUGGGAUAACAUUCGGAAACGAAUGCUAAUACCGGAUACGCGAUAUGGUCGCAUGACCGAAUCGGGAAAGAUGGAGCAAUCUAUCACUUACAGAUGGACCCGCGGCGCAUUAGCUAGUUGGUGAGGUAACGGCUCACCAAGGCGACGAUGCGUAGCCGACCUGAGAGGGUGAUCGGCCACACUGGGACUGAGACACGGCCCAGACUCCUACGGGAGGCAGCAGUAGGGAAUCUUCCGCAAUGGACGAAAGUCUGACGGAGCAACGCCGCGUGAGUGAUGAAGGUUUUCGGAUCGUAAAGCUCUGUUGCCAGGGAAGAAUGCUUGGGAGAGUAACUGCUCCCAAGGUGACGGUACCUGAGAAGAAAGCCCCGGCUAACUACGUGCCAGCAGCCGCGGUAAUACGUAGGGGGCAAGCGUUGUCCGGAAUUAUUGGGCGUAAAGCGCGCGCAGGCGGCCUUGUAAGUCUGUUGUUUAAACUUGGGGCUCAACCCCAAGUCGCAAUGGAAACUGCAAAGCUUGAGUACAGAAGAGGAAAGUGGAAUUCCACGUGUAGCGGUGAAAUGCGUAGAGAUGUGGAGGA